CCUGUGCCGUACAGCAUGGCGGCGCUGUGGCGGCGGGCGCGUCCCCCGGCAGUGUCGGGGCUGUGCCGUACGCUCCGAGCGCUCUCAGGAAAGAAUGAGUAUGAUCUUCUGGUCAUUGGUGGAGGGUCUGGAGGCCUUGCUUGUGCAAAAGAAGCCGCUCAGUUUGGAAAAAAAGUGGCUGUUCUGGAUUAUGUUGAACCUUCCCCACGAGGAACUUCAUGGGGACUUGGUGGAACUUGUGUGAAUGUUGGCUGCAUUCCUAAAAAGCUUAUGCAUCAAGCAGCCCUUUUAGGGAGUGCCCUUAAAGAUGCCCAACACUAUGGCUGGAAUAUAUCCCAACCUGUUCAUCAUACCUGGUCUGUGAUGGCACAAGGUGUUCAGAAUUAUGUGAAAUCCUUGAACUGGGGACACAGAGUGCAACUACAAGAAAAGAAGGUGAAAUACUUCAACAUAAAAGGAAGUUUUUCUGAUCCACAUACAGUCCGUGGUGUAACAAAAGCAGGUAAAGAGGUUGUUGUUACUGCAGAUAAUAUUGUCAUUGCUACUGGAGGAAGACCAAAAUACCCUACAAAUGUUGCAGGUGCACUGGAGUAUGGAAUCACAAGUGAUGAUCUGUUCUGGUUAGAGAAAUCUCCUGGAAAAACGUUGGUUGUUGGAGCCAGCUAUGUGUCCCUUGAGUGUGCUGGUUUUCUGACAGGCAUUGGAUUGGACACUACAGUCAUGAUGAGAAGUGUCCCACUUCGUGGGUUUGAUCAGCAAAUGGCUUCCUUAGUAACUGAGCACAUGGAAUCUUAUGGCACAAAAUUUUUAAAGAGAUGUUUCCCAACUAAAGUUGAAAAAUUGGAGAGCGACAGAUUGCAAGUCACUUGGAAAAAUGCUGACCUGGACACAGAAGAAACCGAUUCUUUCGACACCGUGAUGUGGGCAGUAGGCCGAGCCCCUGACACCAGAACUCUCAAUCUGGAGGCAGUUGGAGUGAAAACUAACUCUGAAACUGGAAAGAUUAUUGUUGAUGCCAGUGAAGCUACUUCUGUUCCUCACAUUUAUGCAGUUGGAGACAUAACAGAGGGCCGUCCUGAAUUAACACCCACAGCAAUAGCUGCAGGAAAACUGCUGGCUCAGCGCCUUUUCGGCCAGUCUGCAGAGCUGAUGGACUAUGACAAUGUGCCUACCACAGUCUUCACUCCCUUGGAGUAUGGUUGUGUUGGCCUGUCAGAAGAAGCAGCUGUGCAGCGUCACGGAUCAGACAAUAUUGAGGUAUACCAUGCAUAUUAUAAACCUUUAGAGUUCACAGUGGCUGAAAGAGAUGCAACUCAAUGCUAUAUAAAAAUGGUGUGCUUACGAGAGAGGGAGCAACGAAUACUUGGCCUUCAUUUCAUUGGACCAAAUGCAGGCGAAGUUAUUCAAGGAUUUGCUCUUGGAAUCAAGUGUGGUGCUACCUAUGCUCAGAUGAUGAAGACAGUUGGCAUUCACCCCACCUGUGCUGAAGAAGUUACCAAGUUGCAAAUUACAAAGCGUUCUGGCCUGGAUGCAACAGUCACAGGCUGCUGAGGUUAAAUACCAUCCCUGGAAAGAAGGAAAAAAAGCACAAAACAUAUUUGUAAAGAAAAGGGGCACUUGAAGUUGGAACAGCUUUAAUGGUUCAGGUUACAGGAAUCUUUGGUUUUCUCCUGUAAAAAGCUUUUUCUCACAGCUGAAAAAAUUUCCUUGCACCAUCACAGUUCUAAAACCAAUGUAGUCCUGCUGCAACAAAUCUCUAAGAGCCUUAAGUUCCUCUAUUUGGGAGCUAGGGAAUAAUCACAGUAUUUUAUAUGCAAAUAUAACUAAAGCCCAUGACAUCUGAGGCCAUCUACAAAUGAAGCAGUUGUGAUUUGGGUUUCCUUGUUGGCCAGCAGAAGAGUCUCAGAUGCUGGGAAUCAGAGAGGGCAUCCCAUAAAAGUUUGGAGGGAUGUUUUGUGCUGCAUGCUUGGAUUGCUCAUUACUGAUCCUAUAUUGAACACUGAGACCCUGCAUUCACUAGUGGAAAGAAGUUCCUGGAGUGCACAACAAAGGGUAAGCAGUCAUCUUUGGGUUUUUUCCUUUAAAAUGCAAUAUGUAAUGGAAUUUAAUAGAAAAAUCACCUGAAGCUGUACUGCUGCUGGCAGAAUCACAAUGGAUUAAUCAGUAGCAGCCUGGUCACAGUGUUCUGGAGAGGACUGAGAAUGAAUGAUCUCAGAGGUGCUAAAGAAAGAGUUGAAUUUUAUGGUGGCGUCUCUGCCUACUCCUGAAAUUUUUAAUUCAGCUCAGUCCAAACUAAAUUGACACAGCUCACAAAUUACUACUUGAAAAGUGUAUAUUAAGCUGACAAGUAAAGUAAAACCCUCUAAUAAUCCACCUUAUGCAGCAUUUUCUGGUUUAUAGAAUGCAGAAAUAUGGCUGACACUGAAAUGUUUUCUUGGUUUGUUUUUAAGACUUUCUUACUGAUGAGCAGGAAACUAUAUCUGAAGUGAUUAUGUCUGGCUUUAAUGAAACACUUUACUGAAGGGAACUACAUUAAUCAGUGAUCCAGAAGAGAAAUGGGCCUGCCCUGAGCAAAGAUAUAAAAUAAUCAUCUGCAACUUUUUUUGUUUUUUGUUGUGUACUGGCCCGAGUAAGAAAGCAUUACCCUGCUGCAGAUUCCUGCUGAUUUUUGUGCUCUCCAGAAGGGGGAGGUGCUGGCUCAUCUGUGGUAGGAGAGGAACAAAUCUGAGAGUGAAGCUGCUUGUGCAGAGCCCUGUUCAGGAGGUAGCCUGCCAAAGGCAAACACAAACCAGUCUGCACUGAAUUUCCAUCCCAGUCACAGUUUGCACCCUUUACAGCAGAAUAGCAAACACUGGAAGAGACCAGCUUCAGGUGAAACAAAAUACAUCCUUUUUGCAGUUAAUUUAUAUCCAUAGUUUAUGUGUGGAAUUUGUUGUUUUAAUUCCAAACUUGUUGCAGUUUUGAAGAAUAGUCUGAUGAUCAUGUAUCUAUAUCUGCUGUUUUAAUGUGAUUGGUAUUUCACUGCUGCAGCAACACAGAAAUAUGGUUGGUUUAUACCAAGUGUGAAAUAAUUUUUACCAUGAGAAUUGUACCUGUCUGAAACUAUUAGACAAAAGGGAUCAAAACUUCCUUGUAAAAUAGGAUUUAACAGCAUUUAUCACACUCUCAUUUAUAUGAGAAUAUUAAAUUUUCAAAAUUUUUUUUUAGAAUUACAACAGCAAUUCUUUUGCUAAAACAACAGCAAAAGAAGUCCUAAAUGUUUUCUCUACAAAUUUUCCUGAUUUUUUAUUUUUGGUCCAUGUUUCUUGUCCAUAAAAUAGAAAGAAGUGAUACAGUUGGACUCCAAGUGGCAUUCCGUAUCAGAUCUGCUGAUGCCAUUUUUCAUCUGUGAAGUCAUCCAUAAGUUUGUAGUUGACAAGAAUGUUUGGAUUGGAAGUGUUGUUGAAAAAAUGCCUGAAUUUUGCAGCUGCCUUUAGAAGAAAUGAUGAAAACUUUAUUUCUAUAUAAAUAGGUACAUACCUGCACAUUCAGAAGUUUCUGUUUCCUUUAAUAAAGGGCCUUAUGAGUAUGGUGCAGCCAAAACCCUUGCUAAAUUUUCCUCAACCAUUUACAAAAAAGGAGUUGAGAAUAAAUUAGGGUUGCUUAAAAUGUUUUACUUAAUAUUUCAAAAUACGGAGAUACAGCCUAAUAGCAAUUUUGCUGUGAGAAGCAGCUCACCUCUGACAAAACUCUAACCUUUAUGCAUACAAGUUUUUCUUUCCAGUUCCUUUUGUUUCCCAGAAAUGAAAGCACUGGUGUUUAACCAUGUCAAAUCUGCUUCUCUUCUCUGCCCUACAAAUGCAUCCAGCAGAGUUGUCUGUCCCUACAGACAAAUCAAUGCAAAGAUGAGUUAAUUUCAUUCAUCAUAAAGUUCAAAUUAAUUAUUUAGCAAAUAGAGAGAUCUCAAGGAAAUGUGUCUUCAGUGCAUAUAGAGUGUGAAACUAAGGCAUGUCUUGGUUUUCAGAAGAAACAGAACUGUCUUGGUUUUAGAAUUGCUGAGUGGCCUGCAUGAAAUUGUUCCUGUCUCUUCAACAGCAGCCUGGUUCUGUUCCUCAUUUAGUGGAAAAUGCUGUUGCCCCCUGAAAUAAAACAAAGCAUACAAACCCACCUACAUAAUAAUGUCAGAAUCAAUGGCAAGACAGAAUAAUGACAAAUAUUGUGAUUGUGCUUUUUUUCCUGAAGGAUUCACCAGGGAUGGUGCUUAAGAAUUGUUUUUAAAAGCCUGACCAAUGUAAAUUGAAACAAUUGAUGUACAUUGCAACUUACUGAUUGCAUGUGAAAAAAAAAUCUAGUUCAGGCUUCUUAGGAUGCCAGCUGAUGAGGAUUUGUUUGUCAAACCACACCGUGGUGCAAACAAGUCUGAGCUUUGCUGGGUCCCUCAUAUGUGUGAUCCCAAUAUUUAUUGUGUUAUGAAUUAAUUAUUAAAUAAAGAAUAUUUUUUCUAGUAAAUGUGUUAUUGCACUUGCUUAAUUUUGUACACAUGAUUUCUGCUUACAAUAGAUAGAUUUUUUUAUCUUAAUGCUGUCUCUCUUGGUUGAAGUAUGUAUUAAGGAAACAAAGAAAUAGACAGACUCGGACUUUUUAUUAAGGAAAUGUUGAUACCUCUGUGUCUGUGUGUAAACUGAAUAACCACUGAGAUUUUUCCAGGUUGGAUGGCCUCAUUUUAAAUUUAAGAGAAACUGUAGCCUCGGUUCUAACUAAUAAGGAUAACUAGUAACUCCUAAAAAUGUAAUAAGGAUCAAGAGGAAAUGCAUUAAUUUUCAACUUCACACGAAGGCAAGUUGUACAAACACAGCUGAAAACAUCAGGAAAUGCAAUCAUUUUCCUUAGAGAAAUGGAGUCAAGUAAUGUCCUGCUGGCAGUGCACUCCUGGAUAAUUGGGAAGAUGUUGUUAAGCACAGCAAUUCAGGCAGCAGGGUGUGCACACUGAUAGCACCGUUCAGUUUGGCUGUCCCAGGCUCCUGCUGAACUCUUGAGUUUGAUGACCUCAGGUGCUCCUUCCCAGUGCAACUUCAGCUGCUCCAGUGCAGGUAAUGAAACCAUUUAGAGAAGAGAGUUCCAAAGAACCAUCUGAGAAGAUUCUUCACCAUUGCUGACAGACAUUUUACUCAGUGGAGCAGAUCUCUUCCUGGGAACUGAUGGCUCUUAUUCCAAUGGUGAGAUUACCUUGAUUCAGCUCCACUUAAACACAGCUGCACCAGAAGAAUUCUGUGGUUCAGGAGCAGUGGGACAUGUAGUUUAUUCUGCCUGCAUUGUGACACUCAGGAUGGGACACCUGCAUGCACAAAGCCUGAGCAAUCUCUGAGGUGAGGCCUUGUACACACCUGUGCUGAGCAGUAUCUCCAGGUGACCAGUGAGGGCUACCUGGCUUUCAGACUGUACCAUGUGACAUAACAGGAAUUAUGCCUCACCCCCCUAAACCUCCUAAAUAGAGAAUAGAGGGAACUAAGCACUUCCAUGUGCUGGUUUGGAUCUCACAUGGGCUGUAAAGGGAGCAGAAAAUUCCCAGUGGGAUGAACCUGAGCCUUGGGUAAGUACUGGCAACUGUCAAGUGACUUCUUUGUGCUCGUGGAGCUCUAAGGCAAAUGAAUAAACAAACAAUGCUCUCUUCCCAUCUCUGCCUUGUAAAAACAUAAGGAAAAUAACUUUUAUACCCUUUGUUAGGAUGUCAGUGCCAGAGUAAAGACACCAGCCAUUUGUCCAUUCAAAUGUCCAGUUUUCAUUUCCCAUUGUUUCUCUGGAAUCCCUUGUUUUCCCUUCUCUUCAGCUGGUUGAGCAAUGGCCUGUUCUUAUAAAACAAGUUGUCAGCUUUGUAACAGUCCUGACUUCUCAUUGUUUGAAAGGCAAGAGGGUCACUCAAAGUAAACUCUCGUGUGCAAGAUAGUGUUUUUCCACAUGGAAAUGUUGGAGGGCCACUCUGUGCUGUCAGCCCAGAAAGGCCAGAAGAUGCCUUCAGACUCCCCAGGUGCCUCUGUGUUUGUUUUCUAAUGUUAUUGCACACACAAUAUCAUUAAUAUUAUGUCCAAAGCUUGUCUUUAUAAACAGAGUCAACACAUCUAACUUAUUAGUCAGCCACUGGGAAAAAGGAAAGGAUUAGGUCAACACUGUGAGGAAUUAACCCUUUUCAUUGCCCAGAGAAGAAAUCAAAGGUGAUAAAAUCUCUUGAAACUGCAAAAGAGACUUGAUUAUUUUCUCUCACAAAUUAGUGGAAGUACUUCCUCUCACUUUGGCACUCAAAUGUAAGAGGUGUCCUGCAGGACUCGGAAAAGACUGGUGAACUUACAAGAGAUUUUACAAUAUGAUUUUCUUUCCCAUGGCAUAUGCCAUUGAAGGGCAGGAAAUUUUCCUCCUACCGACCUUCUUCUUUUUUCAGUCUCCAUUUCCCUGCAGGCUGCCUCAGGUACUGGGCUAGGCUUGGCAUGUAGACACAAUUAGAAAUAGAGGCGAGACUGCACGGAGCAAAGUGUCCAAGUGCUGAGUGAGCGCCCAAUGGGCCGUAGCAAAAUGCACAACCAAGUCAAAGAAAAAUGGAAAAUAUUCCAUAAAAUUCAUCUUUGCAUCCCUUUUUCCUCUCUUGAUAUAUGGCCCCUUAUUCACAGCUGCCCGGGCC